rnacentral:lncRNA from 1 species
CUGCGCUGUAGCUAUUGAAGAUGGGCAUCUGAAAAGCGCCGAUGCGUUCCUUCAAAACAUCUUGAUUCUUGCUGAUGAGAGACGCAACAAAUAUCAAAGCGAAGUGGUGAAAUACUUUGCGGACGCUCUGGUUCGCCGAGCCUACGGACUGCAUCCCGCUUCUUCCAACCUCGCUUUCCCGGUGGAUCCUGCACCAUAUUAUCAUUAUAACAGCUACCAUAUUAAUGGUAAUAUAUCUUAUUUUAAUUGAAUCUAGAAGAGCUGCAAAUAGUGAAAAGUUGCAAAAAUUGGUGUAAGGAAGAAACUGACAGUGGAAACAAAUACAAAGCUGCCAACAAAAUGGUAAGAAAUUUAGUGCUAUUUUUUUUUAUCAUUUCUAUCUUUAUUUAAAGAAUAAAUGUUGUUAUUUCACUUGAACUAAAAAGAUGAGAACUCUUUCUUUAUAGAAUGUUGGCAAAGAAGUGAUACCAUCAAAAUCAUCAGGUAUUUUCAACUAAACAAACUACUUGAAUUUGGUUUUCCUUAACAAUGAAAAUAAAUUAAAUUAUUAAGCAAAGCUUCUUAAUACAGAACUUAAUCUUGGAAGAAACACUAAUGACGUAAUAGAAAUUUCGAGUGAAGAUACGUCGAUCGAUACUAAUCAAUUAGAUCAGGUCGAAAGCUCAUCUUCCGAGUCUGAUAAUGAAACAACAUUGAAGGAUCAAGGAUCAUGGUGUGAACAGGUUCAUACUUCAUUUCUUUGGUUAUACAUACACCUACAUUCUUUUGGUUUUAUGCAUAUGUUAAUGUUUUUACAUCAUGAUUUUAUUUGAUUAUUGUUCUUAUAGGACGUUAAGGCAUAUUUACUCUCAAGGUUUACAAGCAAGGAGCAUAAACGGCUAGAUAAAUGGCAAAAGAAAUGUGAAAGGAAUGAGUUAAAUGGGUAUGUUGCUAGCUUUGAUGAGUUAAUAUUUGAAUAUGAAGUGAUCAUCAUAAUUUAACUAUAUAACAAUGUUUAUAUUUUACAGAAAAAUGAUUGGACGAGAUGUAGAGUUUAAAUUGAUGGGUAACGAAUUGGCACCUUUAUUCAUGGUACCUCAAGAUGAUGAAACUCGAGAAGAGUACUAUAUUAAUGAUUCGGUAAGUAAUUAUCAAAUGUAUAGUGGUCGGGCAUAAAUUAAUUUAGUAAUUCGUAUAUUUGUAUCAUCUUCAUAAUUAUAUUUUGUGUCAUGCAUUAGUUAUCAAGUUGCGUUCAAUGUUAUCAUGUCUACAAUCUAGUAUGAAACUAAUUAAAGAUAAAUCAAUGAUGUUAAUUUUUUAUGUGAUGAUACAGGUUGUUAACGUUUUCUUCGAAUUGCUUAAGAAGAGAUCCGACGAAUUUCCAAAUGCAUACAUCAAUCACUAUUCAUUCAGCUCUCAUUUAGUUGUAAGAACCUAUAUCUUGCCAAAAUCUAUUGGUAUUUAGAAUUGAAAUUGUUAUUAUUUUAUAAGCAUUAUAUAUAAUGAAAGUAACAUAUAUUUUGCAACCAUCAGACUCAAUUGAUAGAAGGAUUGAAAUCAGAACAUGAAGUAUUAGCUUGGUUUAAAGUUGAGAAGCUAAGGGGUGUACAUAAAGUAAGCUCUCUGAUUUUUUUAUUUUUUUUAAUUUUCCUUUUAGCUUUUAAUUGAGAUUUAAAAUGUGUUUGUGAUCGCAGAUGUUUUUACCAUUGUGCAUAUCAUCACAUUGGGUUCUUUUAUAUGUUGAUAUCAAGGAAAAAAUAUUUUCAUGGUUGGAUCCAGAUCCGUCUUCUCAAAUACUAUCUUACCAUUUCGAAAAACCUGUUAAAGUAUUACAGUGCUUUAAAAGCUUUUUACUCCCAAAGCUUGGUUAUAGUGAUGCAAAUGAAUGGCCAUUUGUGGUGCGUAAUAAUAUCCCAAAGCAAAAAAAGUAAGUACUUUUCAUAAUCUACAGCUUUGUAACUUUUUAUUUACUUGUUAUCUUACAAAUUUGUCUCUUUUUUUCAUUUUUUUACUAUAAUGUGAAGCUCGGUUGAUUGUGCGGUGUUUGUGAUGAAAUACGGUGAUUGUCUUACGCACGGUGAAUGCUUUCCUUUCAAACAAGAAGACAUGGUCCAUUUUCGUCGUCGCAUUUUUCUUGAUAUAUAUCGUGAAAGAUUACAUAGAAAAAAUAAAGAUUGAUGCCUUGUUUAAGAACUCAAAGUCAAAAGGAUGUGAAUUCAAAUUUUUGAAAUUUGAUGGAAAUUAUUGUUUUUUAAUGCAUGCAUGAUACUUUUACUCACACAUUUUGUCAAUUUUAAAGUUGAAUUACGAUCAUCUUCUACCGAAUUUGAGGACAAUAUUUCAUUACUUUUUUAUUUUUUAUAUUUUUAAUAUCAUUUUUUUAACCACAUCAUGAAUAUGAUAAAUAUAGUAUUUUUAAAUUUAAUUCUACUCCAACAUAUUUAAGUUGAUUAAGUAUAUUUGUUUAGUUCCUCUCAAAUAUCAAUAAUUCAAUUUAAAUCAUUUUAUUUUAGAGUCUAAAAUAAUUUCAUUUUUUCUUAUAUAUUUAAAAAAAAUCAAAUCAACAAUUUAAUAAAAUAGACUUUUAAAUAAUUUUAUAUUAUAUCAACCAAAUUAUAUAUAUAUAUAUAUAUAUAUAUAUUACAUUCCAUUCAAAUUAACCAAACAAAAAAUAGAACACUUGAUAUUAUACUAAAUAAUCAUACAUUCUAAUAAAAUUUAGAGCAAACUAUUUGGGUGGUCACCCAAUUUAAGGUACGUUCUAUUUUAGUCACUCAACUUUAAAAAUUUUUAAUUUCAUCACUAAAAUUUUUAAAUUUUAAAAUUUUAGUCACCCACAGUUAAAUACUUCACGGAAAGCUAAUGCGGGCAUGUUUUUAUUGAUCUAAUAACAAAUUUAGCCCUUCAAUAUUUAUAUAUUUUAUUAAUUUGAUCCUAAAUUUGAAAUUUUAACAAAUUUAACGUUCAAUGUUUACAAAAAAUUUUAUUUAGUUCUAAUUUUAAAAAAAAAUUCAAUUAAGUUAGCCCUGAAUAUUUACAAAAUUUAUCAAUUUAAUUUUAAUUCGAAAAUUUUAAAAGAAGAAAAAAUAUUUCAAAAGUUCAAAAUAUGUAUGGAAGUUCAAAAAUUUCCAUACGUUACCCAAGAGGAAAGCUUCAUUAAACUUAACGUUAUGAUGAUAGAAGGGUUUAGACUACCUAUCUUUUUAGCUUUUGCUUGUUGAAUAAAAAUCUGAGUGAUUUGUAUUUUGAGUGUCGAGGGCCGAUCAUAACAAUUUUUUUAAAUAUUUUUUCUUCUUUUAAAUUUUUUGAAUUAAAAUUAAGAUUAACAAAUUUUAUAAAUGUUCAGGGCUAAUUUUAUUAGUUUUUUUAGAAUUAGAAUUAAAUGAAAAUUUUUGUAAACAUUGAGCGCUAAAUUUGUUGAAUUUUUACAUUUAGGAUCAAAUUAAUAAUGUGCAAACAUUGGAGGGCUUAAUUUAUUAUUAAACCAAUAAAAAUAGGCCUGCUUUAGCUUUCCGUUAAGUAUUUAACUGUGGUGACUAAAAUUUUAAAUUUUGAAAAUAUUGAUGAUGAAAUUGAAAGUUUUUAAAGUUAAGUGACUAAAAUAAAACCUACACUAAAAUUGGAUGACCACCUAAGUAAUUUACCCUAAUUUUGUUAAGGUAGCCAGAUAUUAUGUGAACCAAAUAGACACUUAGAAGUAAGGUAAUCAAGCCUCUUAAUAGUGUUGGGUUUGGGACGAGCCUAUGUAAUGUUUGAAUACCAUAUAUAGUUAGUCAAAUUUAACUUGAUUUGAAAUAUAAGCCUCAAAAUUUACUUAAAUUCACUUAUAUUUAUAAAUAAUUAGUCCGAACCAUUUAAUCCGUCCAUAUUAUUUUUCAAAUUACAUUUAUUUAUUAUUAAGCAAUUAUAUAUUUUUAGUAUUUUUUUAUUAAAUUUUUAAACAUAAAAAAUUUAACCUAUUAACUAGCAUGUUCCACAAAAAUUCAUUAAGCGUAAUUUUAGUCAUUCAAGUUAUUAUUAAUUAUAGUAUAUCAAAUUCAUUAUGUUUCACUUUCCAUAUUUUGUUGAGCCAUUUUACACCAUCUAUAUGAAUAGCCUAUAUCUAUCUACUAUCUUAAGCUAAAAAAUUAACAAAAAUUGAAGGGAGAAGCUCUCUAACCUUGAUGGAUGAUACAUCGCCAUGGAUAACACAUAAAAAUUAAAUUAAUAAUAAUAUAUAAACAUUAAGAAUGUUAAUAUCAUUAUAUAUUUAAUUUUAAUAAAUAAAAAAUAUAUAAAAAUUAAAAUAAAUUUGAGUUAAUUAUUUAUAAAAAUAAGUGAACUUUGAUAAAAUUUUAAGUUUAUAUUUCAGAUCGAGUUAAAUUCGACUAACUAUAUAUGGUAUUCAAACAUUAUAUAGACUCUUCCCAAACCCAACCCUGUUACGAGGCUUGAUUACUUUAUAUAAAAUAUGUUAAUGUUGGACUGGUCAAAGAUGCACUUUAUUACGUGUCUCGACAAUCUCUCCACUGAAGCUUUGCGAAAAAAGUUAACGAGGGGGGAUGAAUUGCUGAAAAGGUUAUGCAUUUUCUUCACAAAAUCGAACCAUGUUGUGUGUUAGUUCCAAAAUGCGUGGUAGAGCUAAAGCAAUAAUAGUCUAUAGAGAUAUGAUAAGAUCACGGCUGAUAAAGCCAAAUUGCUAUUUGGUGACCGUCUAGUGGAGUUGCAGGUGUAUCAAAAGAAUUCCUUUGUGGUUGAAGAAGAAAUACCUGAGAGGGAUAGUGAUAAGAGGAGAAUUUUAGUAGAACAUCCAUAUCUGAAAGAAAAUAUAUACUUGACAUUCUAAUAGUGGUUCAAAUAUAUAUUUAGGAUUUUAAUUUUAAUUUAAUAAUAUGUAUUUAAAGAAAUAAAUACAUUAAUUUAUUUUUAUAUUAAAUAAAUAUAAUUAUUCAUAUAUGUAAUGUAUAAACAUAAAUUGAUAUUAUAAUAAUAGUUAUGUUAAUUGAUCUAUGCUUAUUAUUAAGUACAAUAUUACUCGAACUCAAAUGUGAAUAUUGAUAUGAGUAUUUGACUGAACCAAAUACUAAAAUUAAAGUAAAAUAAAGUAGAGAUCAAGUAAGCUUCAGUCUGCAAUUAAAAUAGGUUUGAAAUGUCAAUGGAGGUAAGUUCAUAUUCUAAUUUAUCUAGUUCAAUUUUUUGACUAGUAUCUUGAAAUAAAUCUAAAAGAGAUGGAAACAAUGAAAGGUUGCAAAAAUUCAUGUCAUGGAGAAACUAGUAGUGGAGACAAAUACAAAGCUUCCAACAAAAUGGUUAAGAAAUUAGAUUUUUACCUUAAUCAGGUUUUCUAACUAAACAAACUACUAAUUAAAUACUUAUUUUCUUCGACAUUAGAAAUGGCUUAACCUAUUAAACAAAGCUUCUUAAUACAAAACAUGGAAGAAACAUUAAUGAAAAUUAAUGAAGUAAUGGGGGCAAAUGAAAUGGGUCAACUUCUUGCCAAAAAUAAAAUUUACUUUUAAAAAAUGAAUAGUAAAAAAUUGAUAAAUAGGGUUGCAUGGGUAAAAAUUUUAUCCCCUUAACUAAAAUAAUUAAAAUAAAGUGGGAGGUUUUGUUUAAAGAAAAACUUAAAAAUUAAGAUUAAGAUUUGGGAAAAACAAAGAAAGCAAUAACUAAAACUCCAAGAAAAAUCAAUGAGAUGAAGCUUCUAAUCAAGGUAAAUUUUCUGUUUAAUUCAAAGGUUUGAUCAUUGAUGUAAAAAUAAAUUUCGAUGUUUAUUAAUAAAUUAGUUAUAGUUAUCGACGAUUGUCAAAUAACUUAAUAUCUUCUUACUUUUUAUUAUUGACAAACAACCUCAUAACGACCACUUAAGAAUUUAAUUUAUCAAUAGUUUUAAAGAACAAAAGAAACUUAAUUCUAACAAACGAAUGCGCAUUAAAGUUUAUUUAAAUUAGAUUGCAUGUCCACAUUACUCAAAUUAUUAUGCAAUUGCCACAAUUAUUAGAAACCAAUUCAUCAACUAAUUAUCUAACUCACAAAGCAAUUAUUCUAAGCUUUCAGAUACUGGUCAUAUAUUUAACAAACUUGAACAAUUAUAAUUAAACCAAAAGACAUGCAAAUACCAAAGAACACAGAAAAGAUUAAGAGCAAUUAAAUCUCACAACAUGUAGAAUCGAACUUCACAUUUUACUUUAACUAGAAAAGAGGAAUUUAGCAAGUCAUAAAGAAAAUAAAAUGCAAAGCGAAUUAAAAUUGGAAACGGAGAUCCUUCAGCUCUAUUCUAAGGUCUUAUUUAUAGAGUUUAUGGAGUUUUAACUGACUUCAAACUAGGGUUACAAAUUAGCAUGGUUUCAGAUGGGGGUUGAGGUGCGAUGUGUUUAACUUACUUUUUCUUUUAUGUUAUAAUAUUGCUACAGUGUCAAAUCUCACUGUAACAGUUAUUUUUAUACUAACGCAGGUAAAUGCAUCGUCCAUCUAAACCCACGUAUUUACACUUAAAUACUCAAAAAGACAAAAGUGACAAUUCAUUUUAAUUUUAAAAUAGCAAACAGACCCACAAGACACGGGCAAUGACGUCGAGACUCGAUGAAAGGGGGUCGCAAAAUGAAACUCGGGGCGCUGGCUGCUGGGCUGGAGCGCCCCUUGCUACUUUGGGCUGGCUCUAGUAAACUUGGUUUUGGAUCAAUGCGUGAUUAGAGUUUUUUCUUUUCUUUUUACCAUCCGUGAUUAAAACUUAUUCCUUAUUAAAUUGGGAACCACAAAAUAAUAUUUUUUUUUGUGAAGAAGAAUAGCUUUAAACAUUGUGAAAAUAAAAUGCGGUUUAAAAUAUUUAUUUUAGCCACUUAUUUUGUUUAUAAAAAAUGAUAUUUCAUGGAGGAUGGAACUAUUAUGCUAUUAUAACUAAAGUAUAAUAAAAUAUAAUUUUGUUAAGCAAAAAAGAAAACCGGUAAGUAGAAAAUGUAAUCAAGAUUAGGUCAUAAUUAAAAUAUCCAUUUAUCUUAAUUUUUAAUAAAAAUGCAAAUAAAAGAAAGUGAAUGAAAAUGAAUAUAAGAUGGAACGUGGGAGGAUGUGCAGAAAUUGACUCAACUUUGGGAGAAUCUUUUUGCAGAAAAAGAAAACGUACAAGUUAUUAUUUAAUAUUUUAAUAUUUGUUUUUUAAAUUUCAAAUAUUUUAGAAUAACAAUAGUUUGGCAAAUAAUUAAAAUCCAAGUGGAAGCCAAAAAUUGAAAAGGCUGUCUCAAUUAUUUCCAGGAAAGAAGAAAAUUCAAAGUUGAAACAGUGUAUUCCGCGUGGGGUUUCUCCAUCAAUCAAUGACUCGCCAUUGCUUUUACUUUGGGAUAAACUAACUUUUAAUCUUUGAUUUUGAUAUUUUUUUUAAUUUAAUCCUUGAUUUUUUUUUGGUUUACUUUAGUUUUAGAAUUUGAUAAAGCUUUUUUAGUUUUAGGUCAUGUGAUGACAUGAUAAUAUGAUAUUGUACUGCGUUAUCACUUUAAAAAUAUAUUUGUCUUUUCAUUUUAAGAAUUUUUAUCUAUUCUCAUAGUACAUUUUUUUAGUCUUGUUUAUACAAGUUGUAGAAGCCCAAAUUUGCCCUGCCCAUACCAACAAAACAAAACCCAAUACCCUAAAAUAAGACCCAACAACCCACAGGCCCAAUAACCUAACCCUAGCCCAAAAAAAGAAAACAAAUCAGAAACAAUGUCAAACCCUAGGUGCACCGCACUUAGGGGUUCCUAGCUCUGCCACCGCACCUAGCCUUUGCCGACGUCGCCGACUUGCACCGCCACGGUCACAUCCGUCCUCACCUGUAAGAAAUUAAGGCAGAAAUGACAAGCAUAAAAUAGAUUAAAAAAUCAUGUAAAAAUGGCUAUAAAGCCAUAGCCAAUCACUUGUACCGGGGUUCCCCCUCUUUUUUGAAGAACAUGAUAUGAGCUAGAAAGUUAACGAAACGCUGAGUUUUGGGGUCAAUAGAAUAAUUGGUAAAACGGGGCGUUGCACAUUAGUAAUACGGCGAGUUUUGUUAUUUUUGUUUUGCCACGUCAUAUUCUGUUAUUUCUUUUUCUUUUUAUGCUGAAUUGUGUGAGCAGGGCAGUUAUCAAUUUGGUGAAUGAAAAACAGUUUCUUCUUCUUCUAUUCUCUUCUUCCUUUUUCUCUCUCUCUUUCAAAAUUUCUAUUGGAUUUUUUGAGCAUUUAUCAAAGGUAUCAGAGCUCUCCGAUCUUGUUCAUGGCCGUUGAUGGGAUUUCUACGAGGCUACAAAAGGAGAUGGGAAGUGUUCAGCAGGACCUGUCCAAGUUGCAGGCAGAAAUUGGUCGUUUAGAAGCUAAGUUGGACACCCAAAUGGACACCAAGUUUCAGGAAUUCCGCAACGAAAUUCGUUCGGACUUACAGACCCUUUUGGAACAAUAUAUCGGCCAUCCUAAGAUGGGUCCUAUGACGUCAGUGAAUGAGGACAAAGGGAAAGGAGUGUUGGGGGCACCCCCGGAGUUCCCUGCCAAGGAUUUGGGGGUGGAUCGAAUUUAGUAGACGGGAUCAGUUCUCAACGAGGUACUACCGUUCAUAUACUGGAGAACUCGAAAAAACUUAAGGUUUUUUUUUGUCUCAAUUUGAUAUCUAACUUUGACUUCAACGUUCAAUUUGGUAUCUGUAUUAGUUCCUGUGUUUUUAUGAAGCACAUGUGUCAAACACUCAUUGAUCACGUGACAUUGUCCAAACUGGAUACCAAUUUGAACAUUAAAACUAUACUUAAGUACCAAAUUGAAAUAAAAAAUUUAAAUACCAAACUUAAUCUUAAAACCAAACUCACAUAAUAAAUGUUAUAUUAACCCAAAAAAAUCCAAAUUGAGAUUUCCUUCUUCAUAAUUAUUUAUCUUCACGAGAAUUUAUGGCAAAUAUGAAAUAUCUUUAACCAUUUCCCUUAUCUGUAAUUUUUAUGUAAGCAUAAUUUUCAUUUCCCUUAUCUGUAAUUUUUGUGUAAGCAUGAAUUUUAUCUAAACUUUUAAUAAAAAUGUAAAUAAAAAAAACCUCAUUAAAAUAUCAAUUUAAGAACUAAUGUGGAAAAAUUCAACCUUAAGGUUUGAUUAAGAGUGUAAUUAAGCCAAACUGAGUUUAAAUAGUUUAAGUUCAAGUGCGAUUUAAAACUUGAAACUUAAUACUCAACUCGAGUUUGAUUGAGCGUUAAUUUUCAAGCUCAAUUUUAAUAUAGCAUAAUUUUUAAGCUCGAGCUCGACUCGAGAUAUAGUUGAGCAACUUAGAUUCAAGUUCAAUUAAGUAUAUUUUAGCAUAGAAUUUUCAUCUUUAGAUUCUAAACUUUAUUUUGUGUUAAUAAUGUCGCAUUCCCAACAAUGUUAAGAUAUGAGAAUAUGAAGGAUAAUCUAAAUAACACAUGUUCCUUAGGUUAUUUUACAUUUCCUUUGUAAUGAGAUAGUUUUAACAAUUUUACCCAACACCUUUAAUUCAUUUUACUUAAAUGAAAAUAAAAUAAUAAGUUAUUAUGCAUAAAUUUUAUGUUGAGAUAUUUUUAAAAAAUCAUUUAUAUAAAGUAAAAAUUUGAGUCAAAAUAAUCUACUAUUGAUAAUCCAAAUUAUCAUUUAUGAAGAAAUAAAUCUUUUUAACUUAUAUUCAAUAUUCAUUUUUUCUUUUUUAUAAAAAAGUAAAUACUUGUCGAUUGAGUCCUAGCUCAAUUGGCAUGAGCAUUGUUGCUAUUGCAAGAGGACAUGGAUUCGAGUGUGUUGAAACUUUUAUCCUUUUAUUUAUGGGUUGGGGAGGGACUAUGGGUAGUUUUAAAUAUUAUAUCAAAAAGAGAAGAUAUGAUUAGAACCUAUAAUAAGAUUAAUAAAAAAAGUAAAUACUCAAAAUUUUUUUUUACAAAAAAUUAAUAAAGGAAAUAUAUAUGAAAAAAAACUUUGAUUAUAGAUUAUACGGUGGUAUUUUUUCAAGAACAUGAGUAUAAAAAUACUUAAAAUUCUAGGUUGUGGGAUUCGUCUACAAAUAGACCAAUUGUAUUUGUAGAAGUGUAAUUUAAGUGAAUGCAUGUGCGGGAGUGUGAAUCUGAGAUUCUUUGGUAUUAAAAAAUAAUUAUUGAAUGAAAUGGUGAAAUAAGUUGCAUUUUUUAAGAAGACAAUACAAAAUUAAUCAUUAAAAACAACGUUGACCAACAGAAACAGCGUGAUGAGUGAUGAGUGAUGACACCUUUGUUUUUCUCUCUCAAAAUUGAAAAUAAUGAAAGGAAAAAGAGUAUAUUACUUAAUUUCCAGCCAGGUAAUUUGUAGGAAGCAAAUUAUAGAUAUUAAUAAAAUACUGAAACAUUCACUUACUUUUCAACCAUAUUUCUCUUCAGCUUUAUCCAAACUGUGUUGAAUCUCAGCUUGUUUCAUGGCUUAUUCCUUUUCUGACAUCGCCUUGGGAUUGUUACUAUACAGCGCUAAAGCUAUUGAAGAUGGGGAUCUGAAAAGAGGCGAUGUGCUCCUUCACAACAUCUUGAUUCCUGCUGAUCAGAGACCCAAGUAUUGUGGAAAUCAAAAUAGAGUGGUGAAAUACUUUGCGGAGGCUCUGGUUCGCCGGGCCUACGGACUGCAUCCCUCUUCUUCCCACUUCAGUUUCCCGGUUGGUCCUGCAACUUGUUAUCAUUAUAAGUGCUACAAUAUUAAUGGCGUCAUACAAAAGGUCAUCAAGAAUGCUGUGAUGUGAAAGAGGCGAUUGCACCUCGUUGAUUUCUCCAUCCCGUAUUACUGUUUUGAGGAUUCAGUUCUUCGUACACUGCCCACUCUCUGCGAUCGUCUAUCUGCCCGUGUAAGUUACAUACUGUUAACAUUAAUGGGAGACAACAUUAAUAGCAAACAAUACAAAGUGGUGCAAGUUUAGCACCCUAAAGUUGACUUUGAAAAAGUGGCAUGGGAUAAUUUUUUUUUUGGUCCUUGAGAUAAUGGGCUAUUUAUUGUUUGGUCCUUAAACCUCAACUAUAAAUAGGCCUUCUCAUUUCUCAUUUCAAUUCAUCCUAACCAAUCUUUCUCUCUUAGUUUUCUCUCUUCUCCCAUUUGAGAAUUCUUAAGGAAUUCUAUUUGUUUGUAAUACUUUGGAGAUAGUAAAGUUAUCAUCUGGUGUUAGUGCCCGAGGACGUAGGCAUAAGUUACCGAACCUCGUUAAAUCUCUUGUGUUCUUUCUUGUCCUAUUUUUCUUUCAAUAUUUGAGGGUAUAAUAGUAGUAUUUAAUUGUGCUAUUAAAUUACUAUAGAAGGGAUAUUCUGUCUAAAGAAAGACUUGGUAUUUAAGAGAUCCAUGUGAUCCACCUCUCUUCCCUGGGAAUUGAACUUUGUGUGAUUUUUUAGUACAAUAAUUUACACGCUUCCGACCCUAUUGGAAUAACAAGUGGUAUCAAGAGCCGAAGGUUAAUCGUAGUAUGCUCUGUGGUUGCAGUUUAAACUGAUCUUCCACAUCAGAAAAGAUUUCCUUAGGUAUAUAUUGAAAGAUUAUGGAGAAAACGGUCGGUGUAGGAGCUUCAACAUCGUCCAUGUGGACAAGACCGACAAUUGCAAAUGAAAGACUGGCCGUGGAGAUCUUUGAUGGCACAGGCCAUUUUGGUAUGUGGCAAAGUGAGGUUCUAGAUGCCCUUUUUCAGCAGAGUCUAGACAUUGCCAUUGAUGAAGAAAAACCAGAUGAUGUACAUCAGAAAGAUUGGAAGGCGAUCAAUCGGUUGGCAUGUGGCACAAUUCGAUCAUGCCUUUCUCGAGAGCAGAGGUAUGCUUUUUCAAAGGAGACUUCUGCAAAUAAGUUGUGGGUGGCACUUGAAGAAAAUUUUUUGAAGAAAAACAGUCAAAGUAAGCUCCACUUGAAGAAAAGACUGUUUCGCUUCACAUACGUCCCAAGUACCACAAUGAAUGAUCACAUCACCAAAUUUAAUCAAUUAGUCACUGAUUUGCUGAAUAUGGAUGAGACAUUCAAAGAUGAAGAUUUGGCUUUGAUGCUGUUGGGGUCACUUCCUGAGGAGUUUGAGUUCCUAGAAACUACUCUACUUCAUGGCAGGAGUGAUAUAUCUCUGAGCGAAGUCUGUGCGGCCUUAUACUGUUAUGAACAGAGAAAGAAGGACAAACAGAAAAACUCAAUCAGAGAUAAAGAAGCUUUAGUAGUCCGAGGUCGUUCAUACACUCGGAAGAAAACUCAAAAGGGGAGAUCAAAGUCAAAGUCCAGACUCGGGAAAGAUGAAUGUGCUUUUUGUCAUGAGAAAGGCCACUGGAAGAAAAAUUGUCCAAAGCUGAAGAAUAAGGGAAAAGCUGCUGUAGAUGCUUGUGUUGCUAAGCAUGAUACUAGUGACUCUGAACUAUCACUGGUUGCAUCAUCAUCGUCGUUCCAUUCAGAUGAGUGGAUAUUGGAUUCGGGUUGUACCUAUCAUAUGUCCCCUAACCGGGAGUGGUUCUCUGAUUUAGUAGAACUAAAUGGAGGAGUUGUUUAUAUGGGCAAUGACAAUGCCUGUAAAACUGUUGGGAUAGGUUCAAUCCAAUUAAAGAAUAAAGAUGGAUAAACCAGAGUUCUGACUGAUGUUCGGUACGUGCCCAGUUUGAAGAAAAAUCUCAUCUCAUUGGGAGCCUUGGAAUCCAAUGGUUCAGUUGUUACUAUGAUAGAUGGGGUUUUGAAAGUGACAUCUGGCGCACUUGUGAUAUUGAAGGGCAUCAGGAAAAAUAACUUGUAUUACUACCAAGGUAGUACAGUUAUUGGAGCAGUCGCUGCAGCUUCCGGCAACAAAGAAUUGGACUCAAUACAGUUGUGGCAUAUGAAGUUGGGACAUGCCAGCGAAAAAUCCUUGCAAAUUCUAGCAAAGCAAGGAUUGUUGAAAGGUGCAAAGGCUUGCAAAUUAAAAUUUUGUGAGCACUGUGUUCUGGGAAAGCAAAAGAGAUUGAAAUUCGGCACUGCUAUCCAUAAUACAAAAGGUAUUUUGGAAUAUAUUCACUCAAAUGUGUGGGGGCCUUCCAAGACACCUUCAUUGGGAGGAAAACACUACUUUGUUACUUUUGUUGAUGACUUUUCCAGAAGAGUUUGGGUGUAUACCAUGAAAACUAAAGAUGAAGUGCUUGGAGUUUUUCUUAAAUGGAAAACUAUGAUCGAAAACCAGACUAGCAAGAAAAUCAAGCGGCUUAGGACGGACAAUGGAGGGGAAUAUAAAAGUGAUCCGUUCUUCGAUGUGUGCCAAGAGUAUGGUAUUGUUCGACACUUUACAGUUAGGGAUACACCACAACAGAAUGGAUUGGCAGAGCGUAUGAAUCGAACAUUGCUGGAGAAAGUUCGAUGUAUGUUGUCCAAUGCUGGGUUGGGCAAGCAAUUUUGGGCUGAGGCUGUGACAUACGCUGGCCAUCUUGUUAAUCGUUUGCCAUCAUCUGUAUUAGAAAGAAAAACUCCUAUGGAGGUAUGGUCUGGAAAACCGGCUACAGAUUAUGAUUCCUUACAUGUGUUUGGAACCACUGCAUAUUACCAUGUGAAGGAGUCAAAGUUAGAUCCGAGGGCAAAGAAAGCUCUCUUUAUGGGAAUCACUUCUGGAGUGAAGGGAUUUCGUCUUUGGUGCUUAAGCACAAAGAAAAUGAUCUGUAGCAGAGAUGUUACCUUUGAUGAAUCUACCACAUUGAAAAAGGUAGCAGAUAAAGAUAUUCAGACGAGCAAUACUCCACAGCAGGUGGAGUGUACUCCAAAACAGGUGGAGUUUGAGCAGAUGGGGAUUUGCCCAGUUAAUAAGUCUAAUUCUCCAGCCACAAUGGAGGAAUUAGAGGUUGAAGAGGUUCUGACCCAAGAACCACUAAGUACACCAGAACCAGUUGCAGUUGCAAGGCCACGGAGAGAAAUUCGUAAACCUGCUCGAUUUACUGAUAUGGUGGCCUACGCCCUUCCCGUUGUUGAUGAUAUUCCUAUCACUUAUCAAGAAGCAAUGCAAAGCUUAGAAAGUGAUAAAUGGAAAAGCGCCAUGGAUGAAGAAAUGCAGUCUCUCCGGAAGAACAAUACUUGGGAGUUGGCGCAAUUACCGAAAGGUAAAAGGGCAAUCGGAUGCAAGUGGGUAUUCGCAAAGAAAGAUGGAUCUCCUAGCAAGAAGGAUAUUCGCUACAAGGCAAGAUUGGUAGCUAAAGGCUACGCUCAGAAGGAGGGAAUUGACUACAAUGAUGUAUUUUCCCCUGUUGUGAAGCAUUCCUCCAUUAGAAUUUUGUUGGCCUUGGUAGCACAGUUGAAUUUGGAGCUAGCUCAACUUGAUGUUAAGACGGCUUUCUUGCAUGGUGAGUUAGAAGAGGAGAUCUAUAUGACUCAGCCAGAAGGAUACACAGAUGCUGGUGGUAGAAAUUGGGUUUGUAAGCUUAACAAAUCGCUAUAUGGAUUGAAGCAAUCCCCGAGGCAGUGGUACAAGCGAUUUGAUAGCUUUAUGAGAAGGCAGAAGUACACAAGAAGCAAAUAUGACAAUUGUGUAUAUUUGCAGAAGCUGCAUGACGGAUCUUUCAUUUAUCUACUCUUGUAUGUUGAUGAUAUGUUAAUCGCUUCGAAGAGCCAAAAUGAGAUAGAUAAGCUGAAGGCUCAGUUGAAUCAAGAGUUCGAGAUGAAAGAUCUAGGUGAGGCCAAGAAGAUUCUCGGCAUGGAGAUAAGUAGAGAUAGACCGAGAGGCAAGCUCUGUUUAAAUCAGAAGCAAUAUCUGAAAAAGGUAUUACAAUGUUUUGGUGUAAAUGAAAACACAAAACAUGUAAGUACCCCACUUGCUUCUCAUUUGAAACUUAGUGCUCAAUUAUCUCCGAAGACUGAAGAUGAAAGAGAAUAUAUGGCGAAAGUCCCAUAUGCUAAUGCAGUUGGGAGUUUGAUGUAUGCGAUGGUGUGUACGAGGCCUGACAUUUCACAAACUGUUGGAGUUGUGAGCAGGUAUAUGCAUGAUCCUGGAAAAGGACAUUGGCAAGCUGUGAAAUAGAUUCUACGGUAUCUUCGAAAAACCGUAGAUGUUGGUUUAAUUUUUGAACAGGAUGAAGCACUUGGUCAGUUUGUAGUUGGAUAUGUUGAUUCCGACUUUGCUGGUGAUUUAGAUAAACGUCGUUCAACUACGGGGUAUCUGUUUACUCUUGCGAAAGCCCCAGUGAGUUGGAAGUCUACCUUACAGACUACAGUAGCUGUGUCUACUACAGAGGCAGAAUAUAUGGCAGUUACAGAAGCUGUUAAGGAGGCUAUUUGGCUUAAUGGAUUAUUGAAAGACUUAGGAGUUGUUCAAAGUCACAUAAGUUUAUAUUGUGACAGUCAGAGCGCUAUUCAUUUAGCGAAAAAUCAAGUCUAUCAUUCAAGAACCAAGCAUAUCGACGUAAGAUAUCACUUUGUGCGGGAAGUCUUUGAAAAAGGAAAAAUUCUACUUCAGAAGAUUCUGACAGCAGAUAAUCCCGCAGAUAUGAUGACCAAGGUGGUAACAACAAUCAAGUUUAAUCAUUGUUUGAACUUGAUUAACAUCCUGAGAAUUUGAGCACCUUCAGGUGUAUGGCGCUCGAGAGCGCAUUUGUAGGCACUACAAAGGAUAGCUUUAUCGAAUUUGGGGAGUUGAAGGAAGUGUGUGAAGAUGUGAUUAUCCUAAUCAAAUCUUCAAGGUGGAGAUUGUUAACAUUAAUGGGAGACAACAUUAAUGGCAAACAAUACAAAGUGGUGCAAGUUUAGCACCCUAAAGUUGACUUUGAAAAAGUGGCAUGGGAUAAUUUUUUUUUGGUCCUUGAGAUAAUGGGCUAUUUAUUGUUUGGUCCUUAAACCUCAACUAUAAAUAGGCCUUCUCAUUUCUCAUUUCAAUUCAUCCUAACCAAUCUUUCUCUCUUAGUUUUCUCUCUUCUCCCAUUUGAGAAUUCUUAAGGAAUUCUAUUUGUUUGUAAUACUUUGGAGAUAGUAAAGUUAUCAUCUGGUGUUAGUGCCCGAGGACGUAGGUAUAAUUUACCGAACCUCGUUAAAUCUCUUGUGUUCUUUCUUGUCCUAUUUUUCUUUCAAUAUUUGAGGGUAUAAUAGUAGUAUUUAAUUGUGCUAUUAAAUUACUAUAGAAGGGAUAUUCUGUCUAAGGAAAGACUUGGUAUUUAAGAGAUCCAUGUGAUCCACCUCUCUUCCCUGGAAAUUGAACUUUGUGUGAUUUUUUAGUACAAUAAUUUACACGCUUCCGACCCUAUUGGAACAACACAUACUUCCACCGUUUCUGAAAAAAACAUGUAGAUUUCAAAAGAAGUAGAGAAGAAGCCAAGGAACUUGAAAAAAAGUUAGGGGAUGAGUUUAAAGUGGUUUACGCCAAUAGUUUGGCAGAAGUGGAUGAAUGUGAAAUAGAUUCCAAAAGAAGUAGAGAAGAUGACAUGGUGGUGGUUUACUAUAAAUUCAAACUUCACAAGUUGCUAAUAGAUGCAAAAGCAAUGAAGAGAGAGUUGGUGAGAUUGAGGGAGAUAAAUCCGACGGCUGUAAUCAUGCUAGACUUUUAUGGUAAUCAUAAUGACUCCAAUUUCUUGAGAUGUUUAGAGGAUUCUUUUCGGUAUUACUCCACCAGUUCCAUUUAUUUUGAUGAUGAGUAUCAGUGGGAGUUGAGCAGAGAUGCAUGGGAAGGUACUAAUGUAAUUAGGCGGCACCCAACGUUGAGUGAAUGGCAAUGGCUGGUUUUACUCGAAUUCCAUUAAUCCACAACAAAGAUAUUCUUAUGGUCCAGGAUAAAUGUUUGCUAGAAAUAAUGGGGGAGGAAGAAGAGUGUUUGAUGAUAGGUUACAAGAAAUGCCCAAUGUUUUUCUUAUCGGCAUGGAAACCCAAUGUUGAAGAUGGACACUUCAAUUCCAGUUCCACCAGCCAUAAGUUUGGACAAGGUACUUUUCUUUUUCUUUUUUCAAUUUAUAUAUACAUUUGUGUUCCUUUUUAUUAAUAUAUGAAUCUGUAUUUAAUGCAUUAAAUACCUAAAAAUUUAUAUAGAAAUAGCAAAUCAUAUGAUACAUACUUGUUUUAAAAUCACUUAAAUAAAUAUGAUCUAUUUUUAAUAUAUAACAUGAUGUUGUUGACUAUCUAACAGUAUAUCAAAUAAAAAUUAUAUAUACUUGAGAAGGGAUAACUUUUAUAAACUUAUCUAAAAAUACGAGAUUUUGACAUUUACAAAAUACGAGAUUUUGGAUUAAAACAAUUAAUUAUAGAAUUUUUUUAUUUUAAUUGUAUUAAAUAGUUAGUAAGCUAAUAUUUUUUAUAACUAAAUUUAGAAGUUAAAUAAUAGAGAAGUUAACGUCCUCAAAAGAGAACGUGUCAUAAAAUGGAGGCCGCACAUCUACAGUUUAUCCCAUGUUCAAAUUACAUAUAGACGCACUAGGUCCCCGCUUACACCCGGGUUUCUAAUUUUUUAAAUAAAAACUUAAUUUUUUUAAAUUUAUUAAAUAAUAAAUAUUAUUUAUUAAAAAAUUUAUUAUUAUGAAAUUACAUUUAUGAUAAUUAUUGAGAUGUUUGGUACUAAUUAAUUUAAAUCAAUUCAAAAAUUAAAACACUCAUUUCCAAAUAAAUUAUGUUUAAAUCUUAAAUCAUACUACCAAUGUACAUAUAGAUUAGUUUCUUUAAAUAUAUUAUUUAAACUAAAAAUAAUAAUUCAUAAGCAUAACAUAACAUGAAAAUUAAUUAAAAUGUAGCAUAAAUAAAAAAUUAAUAAAUAAACAUAUUAAAAUAUACAUAAAAGACAAACUAUUUUUAUUUUUUUCCCUUUUCCGCUAAUUUCUUUUUCAACUCUUCCAUUUUAUUUUUUCUUGGGUUAAAGUAACUUUUAGUACUUAAACUUGAUAGUUUUUUUCACCAUGGUCCCUAACUGUUUUUGGUCCACUUUGUUUUGGAAUUUAAUAGCUUUUCUCAAUUUAAUCCCUGAACUUAGAUCUGUGACAAAUGUGGAUUAAAAAAGUGGAAAGACCAAAUUGAAAACCUAUCAAAUUCAAGGACUAUAGGCUACUUUAUCCCUUUCUUCCUUUAUCUUUGUUACUCGUUUCAUUUUGAACAAUAAAUAAGUAUUCGGUGUACUAGUAAGACACAUUACACUUUCAAUAAAAUAACGCAAAUUUGAACAUCGAAAAUGAUAUUGUAGAGAAGCAAGAAUUGUAGAGAAGGUUAUCUCAACUUUGCCUGAGAGAUAUGAACGCCAAGAUUUCUUCCCUUGAAGACUCGAGAGAUCUAACUAGCAUCUUUUUGACUGAGCUGAUCAAUGAUCUUUAUGCACAAGAGCAAAGAAGGGCCAACAGGCAAAAGGAUAAAGAAGAAGGUGCCUUCUAAGCCAAGAGCAGACCUGCCUCGAGCUUCUCUGGCUACAAAGGGAAGAAGGCCUGGUCUGACAAGCCCAGAAGAGAUGGAGCAAGGAGGAGAUAUCAACCUUGCCCACACUGCAAAAGGCUCAGUCAUCCAGGAGAAAAUUGUUGGUUUAGGCCUGAUGUGCAGUGCAAAGUUUGGAAAAAGAUGAUUCAUGCUGAGAAAGUUUGCAGAAACAAAGGCAAGCUGAGACAAAACCAAACUCAACAGUCAAGAGCUGAAGCUCAAGUGGCAGAAGAAGGCAGUGACCAAGAAGUGCAAGUUUUUGUUGCUAAGCUGCCAAAGGAAAAGCCACAAAAAUUAAAAUAAUGUUAAGAUAACUAUAUAAAAAAUUUUAAUAAAUAAAAAAUUAAUAAACUUAUUAAAUAUUAAAAUAAUAUAAUAUAAUAUAAAUAUUAAAAAAAUUUUAAAUGAUAUGAAUAGUUGUAAAAUAAGGUAAAAUUUUAAACUUAUGUUUGGACUUUGGAGAAAUAUAUUAAUAUUGAUUAAGCACCACCCCGAUCAUCACCCCUGCCGCAAACCAACAUUUCUAUUGUUUCCAUUUUUUAAGGUCAAUUGCAUUACUUUCUUUUCUUGUGCUAAUAACCACCAAAUGUUUGGAACUUGUAAAUGCGACACUUUCCUUUGAAUUCAAUCACUUCAAAGAAGCGUCCACUUUAUCUGUUCAACUUGAAAAUCAGAAACUCAACCAACAAUGGCGAUUUCGCUGACACUCUCAUGUUCAUGGCAAUAGCUUUACUUUCCCAUUACUCUUCAAAGCCUGCGCUUCCCUUAAUUCUCUUCAUGAUGGUACAAAGCUCCAUGCCCACGUGCUUCAGCUUGGUUUUCAACAAGACAUCUUCGUACAAACAUCUCUUCUCGAUAUGUACUCGAAAUGCUCUGACUUGGCCUCUGCACGGAAUGUGUUCGACGAAAUGGUUAUGAGAAAUGUUGUUUGUUGGAACACUAUGAUUUCUGCUUAUUGUCGUUGUUUCCGUGUGAUGGAAGCAAUGAGUUUGUUGAAAGAAAUGUGGGUUAUUGGUUUUGAGCUGAAUGCUUCCACUUUUGUUAGUGUUAUAGCUGCUUGCACUAAUCUUCGACGAGGCUUAUCAAUGCACUGUUGUGUGUUCAAGCUUGGGUUGCAACAUUGCGAGAUACCUUUAGCGAAUUCGGUUGUGAAUAUGUAUGUUAAAUUUGGGUUAAUUGAUGAUGCUCGUUCUAUUUUUGAUACAGUGGAUGAAAGAUCGAUCCUUUCAUGGACUACUAUUAUUGGUGGCUAUGUAAGUGUUGGGAAUGUUGGGGAAGCAUUCAAUCUUUUUAAUAGAAUGAGACAAAUGGGGUGUGUUAGUCAAGAUAUGGUGCCGUUUGUUAAGAUCAUUUUGGGUUGUGUGAAAUCUGGGAAUUUGUUAUUGGCAUCAUCAGUUCAUUCCCUUGUUCUAAAAAGUGGAUUUCAUGGUAAAGCUUUGAUCGAUAACUCAGUUCUUAAUAUGUAUUCAAAAUGUGGUGACAUUGUGUCGGCUCAACGAGUUUUCGAAAUGGUAGAUGAGAAAUGUAUUUUCUUGUGGACAUCGAUGAUUGCAGCUAAUACUCAGCAUGGUUACCCUGCUGAAGCAUUGGAUUUAUUCAAGAGUUUAUUAAGAACCGAUCUUAAACCAAAUGAAGCUACCAUUGCCAGCAUACUCUCUGCUUGUGCUGAUUUGGGGUCACUGAGCAUCGGGAACGAGAUUGAACAUUAUGUGAAAUUGAAUGGGUUGGCGUCAAAUCAGCAGGUCCAGACCUCAUUGAUUCACAUGUACUGUAAAUGUGGGAGGAUAGACAAGGCAGAAAAAGUAUUUGCAGGAGUGUUACAUAAAGACUUAGCUAUUUGGAGUUCCAUGAUAAACGGUUACGCGAUUCACGGAAUGGGUAACGAGGCUCUGAAACUAUUUCACCGGAUGCAGAUAACCAAACCUUGCAGCCUAGAUCAUGUUGUUUUCACAAGCAUAUUUUUGGCUUGCAGUCAUUCAGGGUUGGUAGAAGAUGGAUUGAAGUACUUCAAAAGCAUGAAAGACGAUUACAGAAUAGAGCCCGGAAUAGAGCAUUAUACUUGCUUGGUUGAUCUCCUUGGACGAGCUGGUCACUUUGACUUGGCUUUGAAAACCAUCCAAGAGAUGCCUCUGCAAGUACAAGCUCAAGUUUGGGCUCCAUUGCUUAGUUCAUGUAGGAAACAUCGUAAUAUCGAACUCGGUGAAUAUGUAGCCAAGAAAUUGUUAGAUUUAAAUCCCGGAAACACCAGCAGUUAUGUUUUGAUGGCUAAUAUAUAUACAUCAGCUGGUAAGUGGAAGGAAGCAGCUAAAACAAGAAGCAUGAUGAGGAAUAAAGGAUCGGUUAAAGAACCCGGUUGGAGCCAGAUCGAGAUCAAUGGCUCGGUACAUGUUUUUAUGGCCGGAGAUAGAUCACAUCAUCGGUCUGCUAGUAUCUAUGAAAAGUUGAAUGAGCUUAAUACAAAACUUAAAGAAGCCGGAUAUGUUGCUGAAACAGAUAUGGUAGUUCAUGACUUGGAAAAUGAAGACAAAGAGGAGUCUAUGAAGGUUCAUAGUGAACGAUUGGCUGUCGCUUGGGGACUUAUCGGUACUGAGCCAGGAACUACUCUUACGAUCAUAAAGAACCUACAAACUUGUGGUGAUUGUCACUCGUUUUUGAAGUUUACUUCCAAGGUUACAGGCAGGCAUCUUAUUGUGAGAGACGGACAACGGUUCCACCAUUUUCUAUUGGGUUCAUGUUCUUGCAAGGAUUUCUGGUGAAGUUCUUGGGAUUAUUUAAUCUUUGUCUUGAAAAGAACGUGGUCUCUGAAAAGACAUCGGGGUAUUUAGUGGACAAUGGCAAUGAGAGGAAGGCUCUGUUAGUCAUUUGGUGCUUGUGUUAUGUUGGGUUCAUAAUUUAAGCAUUAUGAAUUGCUGAAAUUAUCAUUCUGGUUCUGCUGAGAAAGGGAUACCUCCAAUGUUACUGGGAUUUGGAUACGAGUGUUUAUACAAAUAUUUGUACAGCACAAAAAUGUUUGCAUGGUUUUUAAAAAUUGUAGUAAAAAUCAAUUGAAUAAGAUUGAAGCACAUUUCUCAUCACCAUGGAAAUGAAUUUGAUGAUGGUUUAAUUUUUCUUUUGGUGAUCACCUUCCUUCGCAUUUGAAAUAAUACUGUGUUUAUUGCUCUUUAAUUAUGAGGGACAUUGAGUUUGGGUGAAACAAAUGAAGGUAAAUGGACAGAACAGAAGCAAUAAGCUUGCUCGAUAGAAUGAUGAAUGAUGUCCAUCCUAAUGUAGUGACUUUCAAUUCUUUAAUCGAUGCAUUAUGCAAGGAAAAGAGGAUCGGAUAAGUUAUUACCAUGAUAGAACUAUCGAGUCACUCAUAAUUGGAGUCUGCUUUUUGUUCUUUAUUUUCGAAAAGCAUGGAGAUUGUGGUAAAACAAAUAAUUAUGUUUCUAGUUAAAUCGACAGAAACGGCAAGCUUGCUUUGAUGGAAUGAUGAAUGAAGGAGUCGGUAGUGAGAUUUAGUUCUAUAAUCAAUCCUUUAUACAAGGAAAAGAUGAUUAAAGAAGCCAUUAUUACAUUGAAUUGUCACCUACAAUUUAAUGCAGGGAUUGUGCUUAUAUCAAGUUUUGGAUGGCACAAGGGUUCAUCCAGCCACAAAAUGGAGAAGAAGAUCUAGCAUAUGUUGGCCAUGACCUUGCAUACUCUGUUGCCAGUGUUGCAUUAAUUGAAGUUAUAAGCUUCCAUUAUUUUGUAAUCCCUAGUCAAUUAGUCACUUAUAGUAACAAUGCAUGAACAUGUUUGAUAUUGUAUUUACUUCUGCAGUAUACCUUUGUCAUGUUUAAGAGCAUUGAAGUUUGUUCUUUGGUAGAAGAGAAAUUGUAGUUUUGAAUUACCCAUUGUUAAGGGUGCCAUGAACAUGUUUAGGUGAUUUUGAUUUUUGACUUAUUGGUUUUCACUUAAAGUAUUUAAAAUUAAUCAAAAUUAAUGAUUUAGUUUUUAGUUUUUACCACAACUAUUAAUGAACAUUUUAAUUUUUUUACCGUAAUUUUAUAGUAAUACUAAACACUUGAAAUUUCAAAUUAAUGUCACAAUAAUUUUUAAAAGUGUAUUAUUUUCGAAACUAUGGUUCUGUUUGGUUUAAAAAAAUAUUUUCCAUUUUAUUUUCAUUUUCAAAAAAUUAUUUUAUUUUUUGAAAAUUGAAAAACAUGUUUGAUAAAUUUGAAUAAAAUUUUGUUUUCAAUAAUAAAAAUAUGCAUGUUUUGAACCUAUUUUUAGAAAUAGAAUAAAAAAUGUUGACAUUUAUAAAGAUUAGAACUAGUAUAUUAGAUUUAAUAUUUGAAAAAUUGUAAAAAAAAAGAAAAAAAAAAAAGAGAGAGAAUGUUUUUAGUUUAAACUAUAUAUGUCCAUGAGUCAGGUCAAGUCAAGGUCUAAAUUUAAAAUUUUUAAUGAUUGGGCUCAAGCUUGGUCCAACCAAAUAACCUAUAUAAUUAUUUAUAAAAUAUUAAAAUAUAUCAUUUAAUAUUAAUAUAUAUAUUAUAAUUAAAUUUAAAAUAAAAAUAUUUAAAAAUUAGGCCCAAAGAAAAAAAUCUUUAUCGAAGUUGGGUCGAGCCAGGCAAGCCAUCCAAUCCAUGGACUAGAAAAAUGGGCUAACUAUUUACAAAUAUGAGUAGGUUUGGUCAAAAUUUUAGGCUCGUGUUUAGAGUCAAGGUGGACUUGGACAAACAUAAAAUAUAUUAAUUUCAUGCCUAAGCCUAGCACGAACUUGACUCAACCCGGUUCAUGAACAUCUCUAUUUGGUACCUAUUUUUUUUAGCUAGUUAAUAUUUGAACUUGUAUUCCAUCAACGAAAUUGAUAUCUCUUCACUAACAUCAAUAAUUUGUGUUUGUCGUGACACUAAUAAUGUGCCACGUAGUAAUAUCUCAAUAUAUAACAUGAAAAACAUAAAUAUAAAAUUUUAAAAUUAUAUAAAUUAAUAAAAAAUAAAAAUUUUCAUAUUUAAAUAAUCAUUUAUCUCGAUUUAUUCUUUUAUGUGUUUUAAAUAAUAUUAUAUAUUUUUUAAUUUUUUAUUAUAAAAGAUCCACUUAAUAAAUUGGAAACAACAAAAUAAUAGUUUUGUUUAUAAAAUAUUUAUAUUUCAUCGAGCCUCAAUAUAUAUAUAUAUUACAUGGAGGAUGGAAAUAUUAUGUUAUUAUUACUAAUAAUAUUAUUUAAGUAUAAUAAAAUAUAAUUUUGUUAAGCAAAAAAGGAUAACCCGUAGGUAUAAAAUUUAAUCAAUGCAUGUUAGGUGAUAAUUAAAGUAUCCACUUACCUAAUUUUUUUAAUAAAAAUGAAAAUAAACAAUAAAUAGAACAUGGAAGGUGGGACCAUGAAAUUUUUUUAUUAUUUAUAAAUAGUUAAAAGAUUGUCUUUUAACUAAGUUUCUUUCUCUGUAAAUCUUGGGAGAAUCUUUUUGGAGAAAAAGAAAACAUAAAAGUUAUCCCACUAGAGACUUUGAGAGACCAUGCCUAGUCUUGUUUUUUUCUUCUAAAAAAAUUAUUAUUUAAUAUGUUAAAUGGUGGUUUUUUAAAUUUUACAAGUGAAAUUAAAAAAGUUAUCACGUAUUUUAUUUAUUUUUUAGUUUUUAAAAUAUUACUUUCUCUUAUUUUCUCUUCACUAACAUAUUAAGAACAUAGGACCAUAUAUGCGAAAACUUUACAUUAACAUCAUUUCCAUACUUUUUCAAUAAUAUCAAACUUAAAAAUAUAUUAAAAUCUUGAUGUUCUUACCUUGUCAUAUAUAUUGAUUUCAAUCUUUAACUUGAUUUUCUCUCUCCUCCAGCUUCUAUUUCUUCAAUCCAACUUGAUAUUCUAGCUCCCCAUAGUCUCCUUGUUAUCUUUCUCUCUUGAUGGAUAUGGAAAUUCUCUUGAUUUUUAGAUAAAAAUGGUGAAUUUUUGGUAGAAGGACCAAAUUAUAAAGAAAGCAAAACUUCCUUUCUUUCUCUCUUCCUCUCACGUUGAUGCAUGGAAAAAUGGUGGGAUGGUGGCUUUCAUCUUUCUUUAUUAUAUCAAAAUUCCCCUUUUUGUCGCUUUAUUUCCUUACUUUAUUAUAUCAAAUAUAAUAUCUUACUGUAAAAAUUUUUGGGUAUUACAUUUCAAGAUAGUUGGGCUGCUGUAAACUGAAUCGAGUGAGAAAGGUUCGGAUACAUUGAUAAUUAGGGUUAAGGUAAUAAGGGACUCUCAUUUGGCAGUGAGCAAUGAUCUCCAGAUGACAACGCGAACAACCCUUGCUGCGACGGAGCCUAGAGAAGAGAAGCAGUAGGGUGCGAGAGUUGAUUGGCACUCGACCAUUAAGAUGACGGCUGGGAAAUCGGGGGAGUCAAGGCAGAGGCGAUGAAAUCGAUUUAGGGGUUGCUCGUCUGGUUAGACCUUAAUCGGGGCUUGAGGAACUGCAAGAGGAGAUGGUGACCCCAACGGAAGGAGUCCUUGACUCAAGAGGACAUUCGGUAGUGGUCUUCAAAGAAAAUGGCUAGCCUAGGCUUUCGACAAGAGCAGCAAUAAGCGGAGCUAAAAUUUUGGGGUUUAGAUUAGACCAUAGUAGCCUAAAGAGUUGGAGGGAAGAAUAGUGCAGUUAAAAAAUAGUAAUAAUAAAAAGAAUAAGACCAUAAGGGAGAAAGGGAGUCCAUUUAAGGCCACAUCUCCUAGAGUCCUUUUAGUAGAGUUCGUUAGUAAUAUCAUUGAACUUUUUCAAAGCCAGUUGCAAUAUGGUUUGGCAACAGAAGAAAUGGGUGAGCCUAAAGUCGUGCAAGACAGUGGUCGACAGUAAAAUGAAUGCUCUUUUUAUUUUCAUUAAUGAAUUCCGAAAUUACUGUAUUUACGUGGAAUUGUCAAGGGUGCGCGAACGCGAAGUUUUCGUAUAUUUUCACAGAGUACAACAUGGACCACCGGCUUGACGUUGUUAGUCUAAUGGAAACAAAAGUUAGAUGUGAUAAAGCAAAUGGGAUAAUUGCAAAAUUAGGAUUUCCUUCAAGUGCCCUGCACGGAUUACUUUAAUUGCAUUUGUCUAUGGUAGCCCAAGUAAAACCAAAAGAGGAGCACUUUGGGACGCAUUAAAAAGAACCAUUCCUACUGAGCUUGUCCCUUGGAUGGCAGUGGGAGACUUUAAUGCUAUUCUUUCAAAAAGUGAUAAAAAAGUAGUACUGUUGGAAAACGAUGCCCGUUCUUUGGUGAUUUUGUUGAAACAAAUGAUCUCCAUGAUCUAAGGGCCAUCAUUCACAUGGCAGAAAGGGAUGAUCUUUGAAUGACUUGAUAGAGUGUUGGAGGAUACUGCUUGGAUCCAAACGUUCCCAAAGUGCCUCGUGACACACUUAGUAAAGAUAACAUCAUAUCACAAACCCUUGCUCAUUAACUUCUGCCCAGAGGUUAACCUACCAAAAGAAUGGCCCUUUUUCUUCUUAGCUAGGUGGACACAACAUCAGAACUUCUCAAGAGCUGUAAAAGACUUGUGACAUUAUAAUAGGAGUAUGACUAAUACCUUAAGAAAACUCACUACCGACCCUAAAGAGUGGAAUAAAAGGGUAUAUAGACAUAUUGGGACUUCUAAAUGAAGAUUAAUACAAUCCUUAAACCAAGUACAAAAGGCAAUGGAGCAAUCAAACUCAAGAAUAAUAUCUAGAAAAGAAAUGGAAAUAAGAAAGGAGCUCGAAGAAGUACUAAAUCAUGAAGAAUUACUAUAGAAACAAAAAUCAAGGUACGAUUGGCUUAAAUUGGGAGACAGAAACAUAGUUUUUUCAUAGUAACACAAUGCACAGAAGGAAAGUAAAUCACAUCAAUGCAUUGUGUAAUCGGAAUGGAGAAUGGUUGUAUGACCUGGAUGAAAUUCAGUUAGAAGAAGUUAACUAUUUUUAAAAUCUAUAUGGUAGAAAACCAAUUCUAAUGAUGGGUUUACCUCCUAACUACUUUCCUCAAUUGGAGCAAAAAGAUAUUGAUUUUCUGGGGAAAAAAGUCCCAAAAUGUUGAAAUUAAAACAACACUCUUCGACAUGGCCCCAUUAAAAACCCCCGAAAGUGAUGGAUACCAUGCUAUCUUUUUUCAGAAUCAGUGGGACAACAUUAGAGGCACAGUAUGUGAGUGGGUUAAAUAAGUCUUUAAUGGACGGCCCAUUAACUAAGAUUUAAAUAACACAUUCAUUGUUCUUAUUUCAAAGAUUCCUCAACCUAAGGAGAUUUCACAAUUUCGGCCUAUUAGCUUAUGCUCCAUUCUUUAUAAAUUAGUUAUGAAAAUCAUUGCCAAUAGAUUCAAAGUAAUGUUCCCAAGAUCAUUGCGCAAGAGUAGGCUGGGUUCAUCGCAGGUUGAAAUAUGUCUGAUAAUAUCAUCAUUUCCUAAGAAGUAAUCCACUCUAUGCGAAAGAAAAGUAAAAAAUAGAUGUCUGUCAAAAUGGACUUAGAAAAAAACCUAUGAUUGGAUUUGUUGGGACUUUAUUGAAAGCUCUAUCCAAGCAGCAGGCAUACCAAAUUUUUUUACGAAGAGUGAUUAUAUCCGCCAUUUAACGCCUACCAUGCAGAAACUGUGGAAUGGUGUUCCUACAACAAAGUUUAAACCCAAAAGAGGAGUAUGUCAAAGGUGUCCCUUAUCACCGUGUUUAUUUAUCUUAUGUAUGGAAUGGUUAGGGCAUAGCAUUAAAGCGGCUGAGUCAUCUGGUGAAUAGAGGCCUAUAAAGCUUGCACGAGUGGGACGACAUUUAUCCCACUUAUUUUUUGCAAAUGAUUUGGUGAUUUUUGCUAAAGCAGAUAUAAAGCACGACUUGUUGCUUAAAAGUAUUUUGGAUCAAUUUUGCAGGUUCUCAAGGCAUCAGGUUAACGUACGAAAAACUAAUGUAUUCUUCUCUUAAGGGGUGGAUGAUAAUCUUAGCAAUAACCUGAGUAGGCUAUUAGGUUUUCAAAAAGUCCAAGACUUGGGAUCAUAUCUAAGGAUGCCAUUAUUCUACAAAUGACUCACCAAUGCUACCUUAAGAUUUGUAAUUGAGAAGGUCAGAUCUAAAUUAUGUAAUUGGGAUGCUAAACAAAUUUCUUUGGCAGAAAGAUUCACAUUGGCGUAGUUAGUACUCCUGUCCAUCUUUAAUUACUUUAUGCAAUCUAUGCAAAUCCCGAAAGGGUUAUGUGAGGAAUUGAACACUUAGCAAGGCAAUUCAUCUGUGGACCUAAUAUAGGAAAGCGUAAAAUGACGUUGGUUGAUUAGGGCUCUAUAUGUCAACCACGUUCCUGUAGUGGCUUAGGCCUUCGACACCUAAAAGAUCAAAAUACCUCAUUCUUGUUAAAAUUAGGGUAUAAUCUCGUCACCAAGGAAGAAAACCUAUGGGUUAGGAUAUUGGGCUCAAAAUAUGGGAUAAGAAAGAUGAUUCUCGAAGACAUUAAGAAACAGAAUUGCUCAACUGUAUGGGGAGUGAUAGAAAAGGUUUGGCCAUUGUUGAGAGAAAAUCUAUAUUAGUCCAUAAGAGUAGGAGUAUCGGUUCGGUGUUGGGAGGACUAUUGGGUCCCGAAAAUAGGGCUGUUAAAAAUAUAUGUAUCUCCUACGGAUAGGCUGAUCAAAAGUUGUUCAAAAGUUGUAUACAAAUAUUUGUACAGCACAAAAAUGUUUGCAUGGUUUUUAAAAAUUGUAGUAAAAAUCAAUUGAAUAAGAUUGAAGCACAUUUCUCAUCACCAUGGAAAUGAAUUUGAUGAUGGUUUAAUUUUUCUUUUGGUGAUCACCUUCCUUCGCAUUUGAAAUAAUACUUUGUUUAUUGCACUUUAAUUAUGAGGGACAUUGAGUUUGGGUGAAACAAUUGAAGGUAAAUGGACAGAAUAGAAGCGAUAAGCUUGCUCGAAAGAAUGAUGAAUGGUGUCCAUCCUAAUGUAGUGACUUUCAAUUCUUUAAUCGAUGCAUUAUGCAAGGAAAAGAGGAUCGGAUAAGUUAUUACCAGGAUGGAACUAAGGAGUCACUCAUAAUUGGAGUGUGCUUAUUGUUCUUUAUAUUCGAAAAACAUGGAGAUUGGGGUGAAACAAAUAAUUAUGUUUCUCGUUAAAUCGACAGAAACGGCAAGCUUGCUUUGAUAGAAUGAUGAAUGGAGUCAGUGAGAUUUAGUUCUUUAAUCAAUCCUUUAUACAAGGAAAAGAUUAUUAAAGAAGCCAUUAUUACAUUGAAUUGUCACCUACAAUUUAAUGCAGGGAUUGUGCUUAUAUCAAGUUUUGGAUGGCACAAGGGUUCAUCCAGCCACAAAAUGGAGAAGAAGAUCUAGCAUAUGUUGGCCAUGACCUUGCCUACUCUGUUGCGAGUGUUGUAUUAAUUGAAGUUAUAAGCUUCCAUUGUUUUGUAACCCCUAGUCAAUUAGUUACUUAUGGUAACAAUGCAUGCAUGUACAUGUUUGAUAGUCUAUUUCUGCAGUAUACCUUUGUCAUGUUUAAGAGCAUUGAAGUUUGUUCUUUGGUAGAAGAGAGAUUGUAGUUUUGAAUUACCCAUUGUUAAGGGUGCCAUGAACAUGUUUAGGUGAUUUUGAUUUUUGACUUAUUGGUUUUCACUUAAAAGUAUUUAAAAUUAAUCUAAAUUAAUGAUUUAGUUUUUAGUUUUUACCACAACUAUUAAAAUGAACAUUUUAUUUUUUUUUACCGUAAUUUUAUAGUAAUACUAAACACUUGAAAUUUCAAAUUAAUGUCACAAUCAUUUUUAAAAGUAUAUUAUUUUCCAAACUAUGGUUCUGGUUGGUUUAAAAAAUAUAUUUUCUAUUUUAUUUUCAUUUUCAAAAGAUUAUUUUAUUUUUUGAAAAUUGAAAAACAUGUUUAAUAAAUACGAAUAAAAUUUUCUUUUCAAUAAUAAAAAUAUACAUGUUUUGAACCUAUUUUUAGAAAUAGAAUAUAAAAUUUUAACAUUUAUAAAGAUUAAAACCAGUAUAUUAGAUUUAAUUUUUGAAAAAUUGUAAAAAAAAGAAUAUUUUUAGUUUAAACUAAAUAUGUCCAUGACUCGGGUGAAGUCAAGGCCUAAAUUUAAAAUUUUUAAUGAUUGGGCUCAAGCUUAGUCCAACCAAAUAACCUACAUAACUAUUUAUAAAAUAUUAAAAUAUAUCAUUUAAUAUUAAUAUAUAUUAUAAUUAAAUUUAAAAUAAAAAUAUUUAAAAAUUAGUCCAAAGAAAAAAAUCUUUACUGAAGCUGGGUCGAGCCAGGCAAGUCAUCCAAUCCAUGGACAAGAAAAAAUGGGCUAACUAUUUACAAAUAUGAGUAGGUUUGGUCAAAAUUUUAGGCUCGUAUUUUGAGUUAAGGUGGACUUUGGCAAACAUAAAAUAUAUUAAUUUCAUGCCUAAGCCUAGCACGGACUUGACUCGACCUGGUUUAUGAACAUCUCUAUUUGGUACCUAUUAUUUUUUACCUAGUUGGUAUUUGAACUUGUAUUCCAUCAACGAAAUUGAUAUCUCUUCACUAACAUCAAUAAUUUGUGUUUGACGUGGCACUAAUAAUGUUCCACAUAAUAAUCUCUCAAUAUGUAACAUGAAAAAUAUAAAUAUAAAAUUUUAAAAUUAUAUAAAAUAAUAAAAAAAUAAAAAUUUUCAUAUUUAAAUAAUUAUUUAUUCAGAUUUAUUAUUUUAGGUGUUUUAAAUAAAUUUAUAUAUUUUUAAUUUUUUUAUUAUAAAAGAUCAGUUUUUUUAUUAUUAUAAAAGAUCCACUUAAUAAAUUGGAAACAACAAAAUAAUAAUUUUGUUUAUAAAAUAUUUAUAUUUCACCGAACCUCAAAAAAUACAUAUAUAUUGCAUGGAGGAUGGAACUAUUAUGCUAUUAUAACUAAAGUAUAAUAAAAUAGAAUUUUGUUAAGCAAAAAAGAAAACCGGUAAGUAGAAAAUGUAAUCAAGAUUAGGUCAUAAUUAAAAUAUCCAUUUAUCUUAAUUUUAAAUAAAAAUGCAAAUAAAAGAAAGUGACUGAAAAUGAAAGGAAGAUGGAACGUGGGGAGAAGUGUAGAAAUUGACUAGACUUUGGGAGAAUCUUUUUGCAGAAAAAAGAAAACGUACAAGUGAUUAUUUAACUUUUAGUUUUUAAAAAUUAUUUUAGAAUAAAAUAUAAUUUGGCAAAUAAUUAAAAUCCAAGUGGAAGCCAAAAAUUGAAAAGGCGGUAUCACAUUAUUUCCAGGAACCACGGGAAAAGAAGAAAAUUCAAAGUUGAAACAGUGUAUUCCGCGUGGAGUUUCUCCAUCAAUCAAUGACUCGCGAUUGCUUUUACUUUGGGAUAAACUAACUUCUAAUCUUUGAUUUUGAUAUUUUUUAAUUUAGUCCUUAAUUUUUUGGUUUACUUCAGUUUUAGAAUUUUAUAAAGCUUUUUUAGUUUUAGGUCAUAUGAUAACAUGAGAAUAUGAUAUUGCACUAUGUUAUCACUUAAAAAAUAUAUUUUUCUUUCCAUUUUAAGAAUAUUUAUCUAUUCUUGUAGCACGUUUUUUAGUCUUGUUUAUACAAAUAACCUUAAUUUUACAAGUAAUUUUAUAAAUGAUUUUGUUGUUGUCCUCUCUAAUUUGACGAAUACUCUAAUUUUUUUCAAUUUUUAUCCACCAUUUUGGGUUAUUCGUUGUUAAUUUUCUUAUGGCAUUAAGUGGUUUUGCCAUCACUCUCUCUCUAUAUAUCCGUGGAUAUCAUCUUGCUGCUGUGACUUACUUUUCUACCAUAUUUCUCUUCUGCUUUACCCAAACUCUGUUGAAUCUCACCUUCUUUCAUGGCUUCUUCUUUUUCCGACACCGCCUUGAAUUUGUUACUAUCCUGCGCUGAAGCUAUUGAAGAUGGGGAUCUGAAAAGCGCCGAUGCGUUCCUUCACAACAUCUUGAUUCUUGCUGAUGAGAGACCCUACUUAUUUCAAAGCGAAGUGGUGAAAUACUUUGCGGACGCUCUGGUUCGCCGAGCCUACGGACUGUAUCCCGCUUCUUCCUCCCUACCUUUCCCGGUGGAUCCUGCACCACAUUAUCAUUGUAACAGCUACCUUAUUAAUGGCGUCAUAGCAAAUGUCAUCCAUGAUGCUUUGAUGGGAAUCAGGCGAUUUCACCUCAUUGAUUUCUCCAUCCCGUAUUACUACCGGUUUCAGAAUUCAGUUCUUCGUACACUACCGAACUUCCUGGACUAUCCUCCACCCGUCCGUGUAAGUUACAUACUUCCACCAUUUCUGAAAAAACAUGUAAAGUUCUCACGCCAAAUGGAGUUUUUGACUAGGGAUGCCAAGGAAGUUAAUGUAAAGUUGGAGGAUGUGUUGAAAGUGGUUUAUGGCAAUAGUUUGGCAGAAGUGGAUGAAUGUGAAAUAGAUUUCAAAAGAAGAGAUGAUGAAAUGGUGGUGGUUUACUAUAAAUUUAAACUUGAGAAGUUGGUAAGAGAUGCAAAAGCAAUGGAGAGAGAGUUAGUAAGAUUGAAGGAGAUAAAUCCGACGAUUGUGAUAAUGCUAGACUUUUAUUCUAAUCAUACCCACUCCAAUUUCUUGACAUGUUUCAAGGAUUCAUUUCAGUAUUCCUUGAAGACUGUUGAUUGGUGGUGGGACUUGGACCUUUGUUUUGAUGAGUAUGAGUGCGAGUGCCACGUAGAGGCAUGGGAAGGUAAUAAUGUAAUUAGGCGGCACCCAACUUUGACAGAAUGGCAACAUCUCUUUUCAAUGGCUGGCUUUAGUCGAAUUCCAUUAAACCACAGGAAAGAUAAUCUUAGGGUUGAGAAUAAAUGUUUGCUAGAAAUAAUGGGGGAGGAAGAAGAGUGUUUGAUUUUAGGUUACGGGGGAUGUCCAAUGUUUUUCUUAUCGGCAUGGAAACCCAAAGUUGAAGAUGGACACUUCAAUUCCAAUUCCACCAACCAUAAGUUUGGACAAGGU